UGAAAAAGAGUACAGUUGCCAGUUCAGUUAUCAGUCAAAACCAGAGAGUUUUACGGUUCCCACGAUCGAAACUAGAGAGCAGUUUAAUGUUCCCACGAUCUGAGUUCAGUUGAAGGUUAAACAAUAACUACCCACAUACCACCGCUACACACAGAUGAAUCAUCGAAAAGAGCCCAAUCUUCGGAACCAGACUCUGGAACGCAUCUCGGAACCCAUCCUUCUUCACACCUUCGAUCCCGGACGCCCACUUUCAGGAGCCCAUCUCUUGGCCGUGUUCCUCCACCUACGCUGCCGCCGCCUUCAUUGCCAUCUUCUCCAGCGGAGAGGGAGAGGGCACCCAAAAAAAUUGCAACUUGCUCAGGGUAAGCUCUGGAAAAUUAGCUCAAUCGGAUCUGCAAAUGGGAGGAAUACCUAACAGCAGCAGAAACAGAGUUCACAGGAGCUAAGCGGCUACUAAGAAGCAAAGACUCACAACAUGCAUAUUGACUUAAAAUGGUCUUGUUCUCUUUUGUUUCUCUUCCAUGUUUUGUUGUAUGUUUAACCAUUCUAUUUUCUAUUUUGUUUUCGUAGCUCUUUUUGCUUUCGAAGUUUACUGCUCGGUUAAAUAUUUGUACUAAAUUCUUCAUCUUGUUAAGAUUGGGUAAAUUUAGGGAUUCAUGAUUGGGUCCGUGGUUGAAGCUCAGGAAAAUUAGCUCAAUUGGAUCUGCAAAUGGGAGGAAUACCUAACAACAGCAGGGUAAGCUCCGGAAAAUUAGCUCAAUCAGAUCUGCAAAUGGGAGGAAUACCUAACAGCAGCAAGUAUUGCAGUGACUGUUGUUGAACUGCUUCCCUGUGGAGCUGCUUAUUGGUCUAGGGAGUUUUUGUGUAAAAUGAGACGUAGUGUUUAUCUAUUUCCUAGUAACCUCCGACAACUACCCCGAUAUUCUAUCAAAUUCUUUUUUCAUUCCCUCUCCCAGGUUUCCAUUCCACCAUUUUCAGCGAUUAAAGCUGUGUAUCACCGUUAAAAUGAAUUAGUGGAUCAUUCAAACAGAAGUACAAACAGAAUUACUGCAUUACUAAGUUUUAAGAUUUCCAGAGGACUUCAACAUAUCAAGUAUGGAGGGAAUUGAUAGAACCAAUAUGUUAGAGGUCGGCAAUAAAGGAGUUCACUUCGGACAAACAAAUGUUCACAAUUCUCAACAGUCAAACAAGAGGUAUCGUAGGAGCCAUCAACAAGGGCAAAGACGACAAUCUAUGAAUUCAUCACAGCGAGCUUGAAUUUCAAUGCGACGACAUGCAAAUUAUCAAACCCGAUUGAACUCGGUAAAUAUAGUACAAAAUCAAACGGAAGUAAACCAAGAUGACAUAAGACCAACAUAUUUCUUUUUUUUUUUUUUUUGUCUCUAUUAAUUAUAUAUUUGUAAAUCCAUAUGUUGUAUGAAUAUUUUUUUGUACAAAUUAUUAAGACACAUCCAUUAAGAUUGAACGAAUAGUUGUUUUA